rnacentral:lncRNA from 1 species
GGGUAGAUCGCCCGUAGUAGAAUGCUCAGAUCUCGCAGGAGCUCGACUGGAACUGCUAGUAGUAGAAGCUCGGAGUAGAUCGCUCGUAGUAGAAUGCUCGGCUUUCGCAGGAGCUCGGCUAGAACUGCUUGUAGUAGAAGCUCGGCUCUCGCAGGAGCUCGGCUAUAACUGCUCGUAGUAGAAGCUCGGAGUAGUGUCCCACUGUAGAAGUUCGUCCAGAGCCCACUCGCUACGGAGUAGCUCGGC